AACCGCCGUAUACGGAGCCUUACGUACGGUGGUGUGAGAGGUCGGAUAGCCAUCUGAU
rnacentral:autocatalytically_spliced_intron from 1 species